GUGAUGCUGCUCUUCAAGACUUCAACAAUGACUUGCUGCUCUUCUAAUCUCCAUUUUUGUAUUUUAACUUUCAAGAAGUAAUUUAGUUAGUAUGGUUGAUGAAGACUUGAAGGAGUUAAUUGUGCUUUCUUCAGAGGUAGAAGAGGAUAUCGAGAUCGACUCUACAUAUAAGAGAACGAUUGCUUGUAAAAAGAUUUUUUUUUGUAGCUGAAUGUAACAUAUUUAUACAGUAAACUACUUCUAUCUCUAAAAUACUUUGAAGUAUGAACUAUGAACUUGGUUAACUUUAUGUUUGUGGUUCUUGAUUUAGUGAACCAGAUCAGGUUCUAAUGUUCUUUUUUUAAGAUGCUCUGUUUUUGAA